AGCGAACGUUCGCGGCGGGCUUAACACAUGCAAGUCGAGCGAGAAUCCCUUCGGGGAGGAAAGUGGCGCACGGGUGCGUAACACGUGGAUAACCAACCCAUUGGUUUGGGACAACACCGGGAAACUGGUGCUAAUACCAGAUGUGUCGCAGCUGUCUUCAGGCGGUUGCGAGAAAGGCCCGCAAGGGUCGCCAACGGACGGGUCCGCGUCCCAUCAGCUAGUUGGUGAGGUAAUGGCUCACCAAGGCAAAGACGGGUAGCUGGUCUGAGAGGAUGAUCAGCCACACUGGAACUGAGACACGGUCCAGACUCCUACGGGAGGCAGCAGUGGGGAAUAUUGCGCAAUGGGCGAAAGCCUGACGCAGCCACGCCGCGUGAGCGAUGAAGGUCUUCGGAUCGUAAAGCUCUGUGGGGGGAGAAGAAGAAAGCCGGUGAAGAGCCGGCCCUGACGGUAUCCCCUUAGCAAGCACCGGCUAACUCCGUGCCAGCAGCCGCGGUAAAG
rnacentral:rRNA from 1 species